rnacentral:lncRNA from 1 species
CUGGUCACGUGUGCAAAUAACUGCAUUGGAUCAGUUGAUAGACAUUUUCUGGAUCUCAGGUAAAGCAAUGUUUUGAACACUUACAAUGACAUGCAAGUAGUUGAUUUGUUUUUAGCAUAUUUUAUCAAUUAUUAUCAGUUUUAAUUUUCAUAUUUAAUCGAAUCAAUAAAAAAUCAUUGACUUUAAAGUUUACUUUCGUUUUCGCCUUGCAUAUAAGGUUAAAAUAUCCAAACAUUAGGUAUGUAGAUAAAUAGAACAAAUGAAUAACAAAAACAAAACCACACACAUGUGGCAUUGACCAAAUAAUUCUCGUUCUCCCUGAUCUUAUUCAAAAUGAAAAUUCGAAAUUGUUAACAUGGUUAGCAUCACCAAUAAUAUUUUGAGUACAGACAAGUAUGCUGACAAUUAUAUAUACUUUGUAUAACACUAAUUGAACACUUUGUAUCUCCUAUCGCUUUUUACCAAAAUACGAAUUUCUUUCCUUACAUAAAGAAUAUACAAGGUUAAUUUUUUAAUAGAAGCUAAAAAAAAAGUUACAGAUGAAGUGUUGUAACUGACCACCUAGCUACAGUUCUUCAGAGAGUUUACAAUAGGGUUCAAUAACAUAUGCCGAGAGCUUGACAGUUUCCUUAUACAUAUUAUACGCGUCAUCGGAUAUUGUGCCUUAGAAAGCCGGUGUAUUUAUAAACACUCUAGUAAUCACUUCAUAACCAAGUGGACUUUCAUCAUACAUGUCAUAAGCAAGGAUUUAUUACUUGAACGGGAGGUGUCAUGAAUUCGAUAGCUUUUUAUAUGAAAGCCAUACUUUUUUUUUAUAUUGAUUAGACCGUGGGUUUUUCCGUUUGAAUGGUUUUAUACUAGUAAUGUUUGGGCCCUUUAUAGCUUGUUAUUCGGUGUGAGCCAAGGCUCCGUGUUAAAUGCCGUAUAUUGACUUAUAAUGGUUUACUUUUUUAAAUUGAUAUUUAGAUGGAGAGUUGUCUCGUUUGGCACUCACACCACAUCUGCCUAUUAUCUAUUUAAAAACAAACACAUGCGAUGAGCAUAUUUCAAUAUUUAGCCGAAGGCUGUGAAAUAUGAAAGCAAUGCUUUGAACACUAACACAUGCUUGAUGAUUAGUUGGUUUGUUUUUUAGCAUAUGCAAUUAAUUAUAAUGCGUUUUAAAUUUUCAUUUUUAAUGCUAGUCAAUAAAAACAAUAACUUUUUAUUCUUCUUUCGUUUUUGCUUCGCAUAUAAUGUUAAAAUAUUCAAACAUUGGAUGUGUGAAUAAAAAACACAGAUUAAAGAUAAAAAAAAACACGAAGUUUCACUUACUUUUUAACAUGUUGAAGGACCUUAAGAGCUGCAUAUAUAAACAUUCACAAUUACAAAUUUACAACUGUUGAUUUAGAACACUGAUUAUGCAGUAUGUGUCUCCUAUUGAUGUUUACCUAAUUCGAAAUACUUUCAUCCUUCAAAAUGUAUGCGCUCAGUGAAUACAGAUAAAAAACCAAAACAAGUAAUGAAUACAUUACAUACUUGAGAUCAAUUGAGUAUUGUGUUGCUUGGUUGAUAUUUCAUGCUUUACCAUGUUCACAUGGAAGGGCAAAUAAAUACAAUAGAUAUGUACAUUCGCUAUCAAUGACAGGGCAUUUGAAAGUUUAGUAGAGAGAUUGAAGUGAUAGAUUUGGUCUUGUAACAGGCCACCUAAAGUCCCUUCCGAGAGUUUUUGAAAUCGUUUAAUAUAUACUAGUAUAAUGUGCCGUGAGCUUAACAUUUGCCUGAACAGAUUCAUCAGAUUUAGUGCACUCAUUCAGACUGACAGUUGUCUUUUGACCUCGGUUCAAAUUGUACUUUUGUUGAUCUAAGACCCUUCUUAGUUUAAUUCCGCGAUAGUACGAACACAGUUUUACUUGUUUAAUAAGUAACAAUAUUUGUUGCAUGACACUUGAAAUGGUACUAAAUAUCAAUGUUAUAUUUAUCUUUUCAAAUAAACUUUUAAUACUUAUUUAUCUGUAUUUUCAAAAUUACCGUGACCGUGAAGCAGAAACUUGUUUUCAAGAAAAAAAGGCGAUUUUAAAUAAUAAUAAAAAAAAAAACACAACAAAAUAUUUUAGUCGACAGUAUUACAUGCAAAUUUGCAACCUAACAGAAAAAAUUAUCAAUUACAUGGAAAAAUAUGUUUGCACGCACAUUGUGUGCCCAGCAUAAAUAUGCUUACAUGACUUGCGACAGCAAGAUUUCAUAGAGCAUUUAUUUCCAUUUACCUAAUUAAGGUAACAACCGGUGAAUGAAAAACAUAUCUAAGGAUUUGUAUUUCAUUAGACAGAUUUUUGCUUAAAGCAAUUUUAUUCUUUUAAAAUUUCUUUUUUGUAGCAUGUCGAGUAAAUAUACUGUAUGUGGAGUAUGCGAUUAUCAGAACAUUAACAAACAAUCAGUUGUCUGGUGUUCAGAAUGUGACGAAGGUCUUUGUGAAGGAUGUAAAGUGCACCAUGCAGCUUCAAAGGGUACCAGAGACCAUAGUAUUGUACUACGAUCCGACUACCAAAAUCUACCUUCUAAUAUAUUGGAAAUCACUCAAACUUGUCUAAAGCACGAAGAAAAAUACGUUAUAUUUUGUAGGAAGCACGAUAUGUCCAUGUUGUAGAAGAUGUGUUGUUGAAACACAUAACGAUUGCAAAGAUUUAAACGCUAUAGAGGAUGUCAUUAUGAAUGUAAAAUCAUCAAAUGCAUUUUUAGAGAUGGAAAAAGUGUUGAAAGAACUUUCAGAAAAUUUGCAGAAUAUCAGAAAAGAUAGACAAGAAAACAUUAAAAGUCUAAGGGAGAACAGAACAAAAAUAGAAAAAGAAGUACAGCAGACACGAAGCCUGAUUAACAAUCAUCUUGAUAGGCUACAGGAAAACUUGACGAAAGAGUUGUAUGACGUUGAGGAAAAGGAAAACAAAAGCAUCACAAACAUAAUAUCAUCAAUAGAAGAGAAAGAAAGAGAAGUCACCGAAAGCCAAACUAUUUUAGAUAAAGUUAAACAACAUGCAUCAGACCUCCAGACAUUUCUGGCUAUAAAACAUAUCCAACGAGAUGUCAAAAUCAACGAACAAUUUCUGGAAUCGCUGAUAAAAGAAGAGAAAACCAACAAUACAUCUAUUUCUUGGAAAAACGAAAACGCUAUGGAGAUUUUAUCUAACCAAAUCAAGAAGAUUGGAACCAUCAUAUUAGAUACCAGGCCAGGUGAUACGAUACUGACAAGCAGGAAAAACCAACAAGCACAGAUAGCGCUACCUACCACACCUGUUCCUUCCAUUGAUGAUGUAAAACUUGCUUUACGAAGGACCGUGAAAACACUUGGAGAUGAUAUCAUUAGUUGCUGCUUUUUUCCUGACGGCAGAAUGGGUUUUUCCUGUUACUCUGCUUAUAAAAUUGACGUCUUGAAAACCGACGGAUCAUUAGAUUUUACAUUGAAGCCGGGAUCGAGAACAUCUCAUAUAGAUUUUAUCGAGAAGAGUCAAAAACUUGUCGUAACAUCUGGCUUUAACUACAAACACAUUAAGAUUAUCAAUGUUAUAAAUAGAAAAACCGAGAAAUCCGUUGAUGUUGGAACACAGAUUUAUGGAAUAGUUCACAAAGAUGAGAAAUUAUUUUACAAUGGGGAAAGUCAUGGAUUACAUGUUGUAAAUUUAGAUGAUGGCUCUGAUACCCAGUUAGUAAACGUUUCUUUGAAUCGCUAUAGCAGCGUAGCAAUAUGGUCAGAUAAACUUUAUGUCAUAGGCAAUGAUGAUUCAGUAACAUGCUGUGACCUCCAAGGGGCUGUUAAAUGGAAAGUAGAACUAUACACUAAUCUUAAAGGCGCACGAGGUAUAACAGUGGACAAUUACGGACGUGUUUACGUAUCGGGCUAUGAAUCCAACAAUGUCGUCGUGAUUUCAACAGAUGGAAGCAAACAUAGAGUGUUGCUGUCAGGGAAAGAUGGUCUUAAAAAACCACAGUCUUUGUGCUUCAAUCGAAAAAACAACAACCUUCUAAUUGCAAAUCAAGAGAAUGAUGCCUUUAUUUAUGACAUUUUAAAAUGAAUUGAUACAAUAUAACUUAAAUUAGCUUCAUAGAAGUGAUAAUAUAAUGAUUGUAGUGAAAAACGCUGGUUUUGGCUCUUUGUUAUCCUAUAAAUGAACAUCGACAAUUAUCUGUUGAAUGGAAGAUAUUAUACAUUUUUAUUAAGUACUAUAAGGAUUUAUUAUGUGAUCACGUCAGCUGUAGUCGAUCCAAUAAAAUUGAGAAUGGAAACUCUUUUUUUAUUCAUUAAAGCAGUAUAGCUUUUUUUUCCCAUGCAACAACAAAAAAAUAUGAAGCCAUUAGGGUUAUGUUUAAAAAAUGUUUUAAUUUAUUCUAUGUAUGAUUAAUGAUUUUAAGUUGAUUAUAUCCGUCUGGCACGGCUGAAUAUUUGUGCAUUUUUGUUUAGACAUUAAUUCAUAAAUUUCUCAUACUAAAGUUCAUGCCAAAUUCAUUUGUUCUUCUCUUUGUUUUUGAUUGCUCUAUUCUAUUGCAUCUCCCUUUCUUUUUUUUUUCUUUUUUUUCUGUAUUUUUUUCCAUUUGCAGCAACAUCCCAAAUGGACGUUUCAUUGUAUUAAGAUUGUAUUCCUGCAUUGAAAGGCUUCUUUAUAUUUAUACCAAACUAUAAAAUGAUCCUUCAAAGAAAUAGACUUCGGCUUUGAGUAAGAUUGCACAUGUCGUGAACUAUUGUUAUAAAAUGAGGAGCUGUGGACUUUGACUGUUCAAUAUUUAAAUUAAAGAAAUAGAGUGUUGACAAAUUUUUAUCCCCGUUCGGCUUUUCCACCUUAGUUCAAUUGCAUUGUGUCAGGACCUUAGUUAGAAUAACAGUUUAAUAUAUUUCAAAC